rnacentral:rRNA from 1 species
AAAACUUACGAAAGGCUCCAGCACAUGCGUGCUCUCUCCCUCUACGGGCUCCCCUCCAUGGAGUCGGAGGGGUCCGCGCCGGAAGCAUCAUAUUCAAAUUGGUAUUCGGCAUCUAGGACCACAUUUUAAAUCAGAGCAGACUUUGAACCACUGAUCUCUAGGUGNUCACUUCGAGGUGGAAUGCAGUGAUACGCGAAAAGAAGUGUGAAAGGCAGAAGGCUAUGAAUCAUUGAUUCGAGGACAACACAUUGCGGCGGCCAGUAUUAUGGCGGGAGUCCGGCUUGCAGAGCCGUCGAAACCGAGGUGCCCCCGGUGCUCAGCGCCAGCAGGCUGCGCCUCUCCGUUCGCGUAGGCAAAGUCAGAGGCGGAGUCUCCCAGCGCUGAGCAACGGGGGCCCAUGGAUUUAAAUGACAGCGCCACAGGCAUGCCCGCCCGUAAAACACCCCACACAAAAAGGGUGACAUGAUAUCAGGAAGGAAUGACUUCUGCAAUUAACCAUAUCAAUAACAGGAGGAAAAGUUAUUAACCGGGAUUGCCAUAGUGAGGUCGGUUGAAGAAACUACAGCUCAAAUUUGAAAUCGGGCCCUGAGGUCAAAUGCUGUCAAGACAGAGGAGGCCACGGCCCGAUGCCUCCGGCGGGAGAAGGAAGGGGACCCCUUAAAGGGUGAAAGAGGUGUUUCACAGACAGCAAGCCUCUGUUACAUUC